UCUAAGGAGAACGGUUGAGGGCUUAGGCUUUCAACGAACAUCCUAUAGGUCGAUGCUCAUAGUAAGCAGACGCAGAAAGGCCGGAAACGGUGGAGAAAGCGAAGCGAGCUAAGAGCUCAAACGAGUCGUAAGACUCAGGAGUCGAAAAGACUCCCGCCGAGGGAUCGGCACCUCAUUGGAAAGAGCCGUUGUUUAGUUUUGAGAGACCAGGAAGACUCGAAGCCCCAAACCAUGGGGAGAUUUGACGUCUCAGGGGACCUCACCCAGAGGAUUGAGGAAAAGGCAGAGAUGCCGGACUGAAAUCCUUGUACUUUUCUCCUGUUCUUUGAAAACUGUAUAGAGAAGAAAUCUAGUAAGUCUAAAGAAACAUCACCUCAAGCCCGUGCUUUUGUAAAAAAGAGCAUAGACUUGAGAAACCCUAGAAAUAGCGAAGAGAU
rnacentral:misc_RNA from 1 species